GACGAACGCUGGCGGCGUGCUUAAUACAUGCAAGUCGAACGGACAGGCGCCUUUCGGGGUCCUCGAGUGGUGAACGGGUGCGUAACACGUACGUAACCUUACCUUGACUUUGGGAUAGCUUUAAGUACCUGGGGCUAGUACCGAAUAGGGAUCCUAUCUGCAUGGUGGUGGUUGGAAAGUUACGGCGGUUUUUGAUGGACGCGCGGGUUAUCUGCUUGCUGGUGGGGUAGGGGCUUACGAAGGCUUUGACGGGUAGCCGGCCUGAGAGGGCGACCGGCCACAUGAGGACUGCGAGACGGCGCAGACGCCUACGGGAGGCAGCAGUGGGGAAUAUGGCACAAUGGGCGGAAGCCAGAUGCAGCAGCGUCGCGUGCGUGAUGACGGCCUUCGGGUUGUAAACCGCUGUCAGCGGGAGCGAAGCUGUUUUGACGGUACCUGCAGAAGAAGCACCGGCUAACUACGUG
rnacentral:rRNA from 1 species